GGGUGAGUGAUGCAUCGGAACUUACCUUUCAGUGGGGGAUAACGUAGCGAAAGUUACGCUAAUACCGCAUAUUCUGUGAGCAGGAAAGCAGGGGAUCGCAAGACCUUGCGCUGAUUGAGCGGCCGAUGUCAGAUUAGCUAGUUGGUGAGGUAAAGGCUCACCAAGGCGACGAUCUGUAGCGGGUCUGAGAGGAUGAUCCGCCACACUGGAACUGAGACACGGUCCAGACUCCUACGGGAGGCAGCAGUGGGGAAUUUUGGACAAUGGGGGCAACCCUGAUCCAGCCAUGCCGCGUGAGUGAAGAAGGCCUUCGGGUUGUAAAGCUCUUUCGGCCGGGAAGAAAUCGUAUGGGUUAAUACCCUGUGCGGAUGACGGUACCGGCAUAAGAAGCACCGGCUAACUACGUGCCAGCAGCCGCGGUAAUACGUAGGGUGCGAGCGUUAAUCGGUAUUACUGGGCGUAAAGCGUGCGCAGGCGGUUUUGUAAGACAGGCGUGAAAUCCCCGGGCUCAACCUGGGAACUGCGCUUGUGACUGCAAGGCUAGAGUACGGCAGAGGGGGGGUGGAAUUCCACGUGUAGCAGUGAAAUGCGUAGAGAUGUGGAGGAACACCAAUGGCGAAGGCAGCCCCCUGGGUCGACACUGACGCUCAUGCACGAAAGCGUGGGUAGCAAACAGGAUUAGAUACCCUGGUAGUCCACGCCCUAAACGAUGUCAACUAGGUGUUGGGUGGGUAAAACCAUUUAGUACCGGAGCUAACGCGUGAAGUUGACCGCCUGGGGAGUACGGCCGCAAGGUUAAAACUCAAAGGAAUUGACGGGGACCCGCACAAGCGGUGGAUGAUGUGGAUUCAUUCGAUGCAACGCGAAAAACCUUACCUACCCUUGACAUGUCCAGAAGCCUGAAGAGAUUUGGGUGUGCCCGAAAGGGAGCCGGAACACAGGUGCUGCAUGGCUGUCGUCAGCUCGUGUCGUGAGAUGUUGGGUUAAGUCCCGCAACGAGCGCAACCCUUGUCGUUAAUUGCCAUCAUUUAGUUGGGCACUUUAACGAGACUGCCGGUGACAAACCGGAGGAAGGUGGGGAUGACGUCAAGUCCUCGUGGCCCUUAUGGGUAGGGCUUCACACGUCAUACAAUGGUCGGUACAAAGGGUUGCCAAGCCGCGAGGUGGAGCCAAUCCCAGAAAGCCGAUCGUAGUCCGGAUUGCAGGCUGCAACUCGCCUGCAUGAAGUCGGAAUCGCUAGUAAUCGUGGAUCAGCAUGUCACGGUGAAUACGUUCCCGGGUCUUGUACACACCGCCCGUCACACCAUGGGAGCGGGUUCCGCCAGAAGUAGGUAGCCUAACCGCAAGGGGGGCGCUUACCACGGCGGGGUUCGUGACUGGGGUGAAGUCGAAACGAGGUA
rnacentral:rRNA from 1 species